CUACCAUAAUCAACCUGAGGGGCCAGCCACUCAAAAUACUCGGUAAACACACCUUGUUACUCUCAUAGUGAGAGGAGUACAUAACCGAACUCCACGUUACACCGGAGGCCGAGGUAGGCCUACCUUAGUAAACACGUGGCAUCAGCAAGUGGCUACCAUAACCAUACCAACCAUCAGGCCAUGCAUUCAACGAUUUAGUUUCUAAAAAGAAAUGCAUAUUCUGCCACAUACUCCACGAGAGGCCUGCUUAAGGCCUGCUCAACAGAGGUGGGGUGUGGCCGAUGGUGGUAAUGGAUUCACAAGCCUCCUGCCAGCAUGUCAGCUAAAAAGGAGGCCUUAUGGGGCCUACAAUCUCAGCAACAAGCGGCGUUCAGCCCGUUUGUCCAUAUAAACACCAACUAUGCCAUCAUGUAAACUAAAAACUAGGCCUUAUUAGGGCCCACCCUAGUAAACACAUGGCAUCAGCCAAUCCAGGACCAUACCAACCAACCGGCCAUGCAUUCAGUGGAAAACCUUUCAGGCAUCAUACUGAGAGAAGGAAUGCAUAUUACGCCGCCAUACUCCACGAGAGGCCUGCUUAAGGCCUACUCAACAGAGGUAGGGCGUGGCCGAUGGGUGGUGUUGGGCCUAUGGUGGUAUGGGUUCUUGGAUUCCCAGGCAUCCUGCCAACAAGUCAGCUAAAAAGGAGGCCUUGUGGGGCCUACAAUCUCAGCAACAAGUGGCGCUCAGCCUGCUUGCAGAAUAAAACACAAACUGUGCCAACAUGUGAACUAGAAAGGAGGCUUGUUGAGGGCCUACCGGUCCAAUGACACGUGGCUUCAGCUCGUGAAUGUAAACUAUGUGAGCAAACUAUGAUCAGCUUAACAGCAUUUGUUAAUAAUACAAUUGCUAACUAGAAGGAGGCUAAUUAACCAUAAGAGCCUACAAUCAAAGUUAUAUGCAAUAUAGCUGUUAACAAGAUCACCAAAAAGGGAGCUAAUAGAAACCAGCUCUUUCUCAGCUUUUCUACCCUGAGUAUGCAAUCCAACAGGUGAUGCACUCAGUAACACCAAUAAAUCUACUAAUGGGGAAUAUUAGGUCACCAAAGUCUCCAAUAGCGGCUACAUGAAAAAGCCUGCUAUUAUGAGAACAGGUGCUAACCUGUGGCAGCAUAAGUAAGCUCACAUAUAAUGUAGGGCAAAAGUCUAGAACUUCAAAGCAAACACAACGCUUUGAUGUAUAUGCUAUUUCCAAAGAGGAAAAUAAUUUUCUCCCAACAGAUUCUCAAAACUGUACUGAGCCACAAAGGACGGAUGCUAAACACUAGCAACGUCAACUCAAACUUGAUUAAAGAAAACAAAUAGCUCAGAGGAAAAACACAUUUUCCAUAGCAUAAAAGUUCUAGAAAGUGGGGCCUAGCACUACACAGCAUGACUUAUCUACGCAAAGAUAAGGGCCUACCACCUGAGAUAACAGCAUCAGGAAGCCUAAAAACAGUCUACAACCUAGCUGUUAAACUCAACACCUUCAUAACAAGGGGAUAAUGGGCAUAUGGCCUAACAACUCCCUCAGGAGGAGGCCAGAACUAGGAACUGUACAACCUGACAAGGGAUAGUAUACAUAGGGUUAUAUGUAAAUAACACACCUAACCUAGCUCUAGCCUGGCCACUAAGCUACGGUCCUUCUUACAGGGCCACAAGCCUAGUGAGGCCUGGGCUUCACCUCCAAAUCUCAUGGAUAAGAGAAAGAAAGCGAAGCUCACAAGCAAACAAUGUCAGGCGGCCGAUUAAGGCCGACCUAAACAUACAUAUUAACUGAAGUGACGAGUGCUAACUCAAACUACUCUAGAAAACAGCAGAUGAGAAGCUACUCUAAACAACAGGUGGCUAAGAGGCGGCCAUUUUGUGGCCUCCACAAUAUAUAUUCUAGCCAGUCUAUCAACUUCAGUUUGCCCAAAAACCCCCUACUUUUUCCUGACUACAUGCUCAGAAAACUAUACAGGAAAAUAAGGUCUCAUUUUAAACACAUAAAAUAUAGACCCUCCUGCGGCUCAAAAACCGAAGACUCUUAAUGCUCCUUUUUACGUGAAAGGAUGGAAUCUAAGAUUCUUUUAAGCCUAAAAGAUCCUCUCACUAUCAAACAGAAAUAGCGGGCCGACAGAAAUAGUUGAGAGAGAAUACAACUUUCUCAAACUUCCCAACGAGCUCACCUGCGAGCCCUAUGAUUGCAGCCGCCGUUAUGCCUCAGCACACACGGGGCUAGAAUCACCAGGCACAGAUGCAGACAACUCUUCCCUCGGGAAGAGUGCCAAACGAGAACGGAGCGUCCCGAUAGGGAGACGCUCACAGUAAACAACAGAAAAACACACAGCCAGCGCCCUCAAGCACUGUCUACGCGCGCUCCUCUCCAGACAGAAAACGGCCAGAAAAUGUGUAUAUCCUGGGACACAGACAAACACACUCUCUUGAACAUUUGUAAGGCAGAAUCCCUUACGGGAGUCGAUAUAGUCGCGAUCAGACAGAACAGGACCGAAAGACGAUGAGAUGUUGACUGUUUCUCCAGGAGCUUCUUUAUACUCCGGAUCGCGCCAUAUUACGUCAUAGGCUGUCGCCGGCCAAUAGUGACGUUCCCCAUUGCGUAAAUCAACGCAGAGUUGAAGUUCCCUUUCGAAAGGGAAAUAAGUUAUUAAUCAUUUUAUAAAGAUCAACUUAAAGUUACAGCCAUCAGUUAAUAUUUAAAGUCUGUUUAUGAAGUAUUUACAUGGACGUUCAAUGUGGAUGAGCUUAAAGGGAGCACACAGAUUAAAUUGGAGCAGCAACAAUUUUUAAUUAAUAAAUAUUACAUUAAAUUUAAAGGACACGAUUUUGAUAGAUAAAUAAAUAAAUAAAUAAAUAAUCUAGGUCAUGUAUUAAGUGUAUUCAUAUUUUAAUAUGAACAACUAUUAUUGACUAUUUAUGAAAUUGUACUUUUUGUUAUUGAUGUCACACUGAAGCAGUGGGAUUUUCAUAGUAGUGCACUCUUUAAGCUCACCUUACAAUAAUAUUAUUUCUUUAAAAAUUGCAGCAGUUUAAAACCACAGACCAUCAAUAAACUGUAAAUGUAUAUUAUUAUGGAUUUAACAGUACAAGCCAGUAAUGCCUGUAAAGUAAUAUAUUAGUGUAGCAAACAAUCUUAAACAGCUAGUAGGCCAACUAUGUUCUGUAGCUUCUGCGCUAUGUUGCUAAAACUAUCUUUUGGAUCUAACUGUAAUAAUUUUCCACAUGCAGGUUCCAGGUUAUACUAUGCAAAAGUCUAAACAUUAAUCUCUUAAUUUUGCAGUAAGUAGUUAUAACUAUCCCCUAAAAAAGGCUUAAGCACCUUAAAAAAGCACAUUUAAGAGGCUCCUCUUUUGAUAAAAGUUUUCAGACAGCUUUCAAAAUGGCCACCAGACAGUGUGAACACAUUGAUACCCUCAUCUCAGUGUGCAAUGGUCUGAUUUUCUUGAAAUUACAGGAGGAAUGUAGUAAUAAACACAUCAAUUGGUUAAGACAUCAAGCAGGAUAAUACAUUAUUUUUUCUUUUUAUAAUCUGAGCUCAAAGAUGGCAGUGUGCUUAAUGGGUACUUGAGCUUAAUAGGUACGUUUACCCUAUUGGUUCUUUAAAAAAAAAAAAAAAUCAAUAUCGGUCGAUCACUAGAUGUUGGCCAAAUAAUUAAUAUGGAAAAGUAUUAUAGUUCAUUUUUGUAACUCAUGGUACUUGACAGCUCAAUGUCACUGUAUUCUUCAAUCAUAUGACAGAAAGAAUCAUUAAUCUGAAUAACUAAUUAAAUAAAUAAAGCAAGCUCUUCAUCUUUUUGUAAUCUCAUUUUGUGUUACAUUGAGGAUAAAAAAUGAAUGCAGGUUUGGAACAAUAUGAGGGUGAAUAAUAUAUUUAAUUUUAUAAUUAUUUAAUUUCUACACACCUCAGAUUCUUCAUCUGAACUGUUACUCCUCUCAUGGUCAAAAUAAAUAUUGCUGUCCUGUAAUACAUAACACAGAAGACAUACACGAGACACAAUAAAUAUGUGAAGUGUGCAAUCUCUUAGCCACAAGUGGAAUUGCAAAAGUUUAAUCAGUUUCUAAAUUAGUGCAUGUCAUUGGUCAGACAUAAUAAUUGUUUGAGUCAUUCUUGCUGUAUGUCCUGCAGAGAUUAGCUUGAAUCCUAAUCAAACCUUCUAAUCAAAAGCCAAAGUUUAAUAUAUAACUAACAUACAUCUGGUUCAGCUUCUGGAUAUUCAUCCACAUCUUCCAUCUCUGCUGAAUCUGUGUAUUGCUACACACCACAUCAGAAAUGUUAUUACAUGGCUUUGAGAUUUUAGGACCUUUUAUUUUAAAGAAAAAUACUCUGUGACACUUAAAUAAACAUUUAAUACCAACCUCACAUUCAGUUUCAGUUAACUCGUGUCAAAUUAACUUUAUUGUAAAGUGUUGCCAUUUUUAUUUUAGAUGCUGAUGGAGUUACAGUGAACAAAACAAAGCUUAUGUGAUGCAACCAUUAGAGACCUACAAAACGUGUGUGUGAUCUGCUUGGAGUGAUGUUCACACGGGAGGAGCUGUCAACACACUCCUGAACUGGAUUAAAGGGAGGCUGUGAAUCAGACCGUGAAUCAGCUUGUCAAUGCCAUUGAUGUUGAUAAGCAAAGUCUGAUCAAAUUAAAAGAUCAGCUUAUAAAGGGCUAUGAAAGUGAAGAGGAAUGUGGUCGAGGAAAAAGGAAGAGGAAACCUCUUCGAAUCUCUUCCUCAGAUGAAGAACCCGAGGAGAGGGAAAUAAUUAAGAAGAAGACUGAAAAGAGGCCUAGUCUCUUAUCAAAACUGCUGGAAAAGCGCAAGGAGCAGUUAAUUGACAGUACAGCUAUACAGGAAUGAACAAAAUGCUGUGUUUUAAAAGAAAAAAUAAAGCAGCUGGAAGAAGACAACAGAAGAUUAGUUCUUCGCUUGGACACCAUGAAU